GAGGAGCAGCGCGCGUGCGCAGGGAGUGACUGGCUGCUGGAGCUCUAGACCCAAAGCACUCCCGGGCCGGAGGAGAAGCCGACCUAAGCGACCCGCAGGGGCAGCGGCCGCUGCAGCCUCCUGGGCUGCUCCGCCCGCUCCUCCCUAGCCGCCCCCCUCCCGCCCCCGCGCUCACUCGUGAGUGAGAUGCUGAAAGACUGUCAGCAACACUGGGGAAGGAAAAAAUCAUGCAAAGAAUUCAGUGUCUUCAAGAAUUUGUCUACAGACACUUGUUAAGUGCCUGCUCUGUGCUAGGCACUAUGGUAGGUCCUGGAGAUUCAAAGACAAAAAUGAAACAGUAAAUAUGGACUUCUUAGAAAUAUUCUAUCAGAGAAAACAACAUGUAUACAUCUCUAUCUGGCCCUGAACCAAGGUAUGAAGAUCUAUUACCACAAGCAAGCCUUUUUCACCUCCGGUAUGUGACAUGGGAACCAAUAUUCUGAUGGAAAGUACUGAGAACAUGAAUCUUCACCACAGAUCCAUGGGGUAUCUGUCUAUUGUCUGAGUUGCUAGAUCUGCAACUUGGAAGUAUUAAGCACAGGCCUCAUCAGGAACAGCCGUCUGACUGGUUAAGCAAUUAACUAAUUAGGUUAAGCUCCUAUGUGGGAGGCCUGACCACAUCAUUCUAAAUGUUGAAUGGAAAUCCCAAAUGAUCAACCAACUCUUGAAAACAGUCACUGAAAAUUCCAUCCAUCACUGCCACACAUUUCACCUACAUCCUUUCCCUCAUCAUCAAAGUAACCAGAGAUCAGUUGAUGACCUAUGAGCCAGGGUGAAUUUUUUUCAGGGUGAAUUUUAAGGCAUUUUUUUGAUGGGGGGGGGGGGGAAGGAACAGCAGUUAUCUACUGCCCCUGGAAACUUUCCCUAGCUAAUAGCCCAGGAGUAUAGCCCAGUAAUUUGUCUGCUGUCCUUUAACAGCAAUAAUGACAAGUCAUAUUGACAUAGUGCUAUAAGAUUUGCUAAGUGUUUUUCUUUAAGCCUAUCCUAUAAAGUAGGCAGUAUGUAUAUUAUUAUCCCCAUUUUACAGGUGAAAAAAUGGGAUUCUAAGAAGAUGAGUUGUAUAUGGUUACACAGAACUAAUAAAUGUUUGAGACAA